rnacentral:rRNA from 1 species
UACGUAGGGGGCAAGCGUUGCCCGGAUUUAUUGGGCGUAAAGAGCGUGUAGGCGGCGUAACAAGUCACUUGUGAAAUCUCCGGGCUUAACCCGGAGCGGCCAAGUGAUACUGUUGUGCUAGAGUGCAGAAGGGGCAACUGGAAUUCUCGGUGUAGCGGUGAAAUGCGUAGAUAUCGGGAAGAACACCAGUGGCGAAAGCGCUCUACUGGGCCAUAACUGACACUGAGGGACGAAAGCUAGGGGAGCGAAAGGG